GCAGCACAACAACAACAACAACAACAACAGAGAAGAAGAAGAGCUCAGAGCUCAUUCUCUGUCCGUCACAGACUCUUUACUCUACCGGCUUCAUGAUGACAUCAGGAUCUCAAUGACGCUCGAAAAUCCAGAUGUCAGUAAGUGUUUAUUGGCUCUGGAUGAGUUGAGCAGCGUCUCGGUCUCGUCUCGAAACAUUCAGAACCACAGCGAGCUCAUCGAAACACUCAGAAAGGUACAUGUGUGUGAAGAUACUCUCUGCUGCAG